rnacentral:SRP_RNA from 1 species
GCCGGGCGCGGUGGCUCACGCCUGUAAUCCCAGCAUUUUGGGAGGCCGAGGUGGGCGGAUCACCUGAGGUCGGGAGUUCGAGACCAGCCUGACCAACAUGGUGAAACCCCGUCUCUA